UACGAAGGGGACUAGCGUUGCUCGGAAUCACUGGGCGUAAAGGGUGCGUAGGCGGGUCUUUAAGUCAGGGGUGAAAUCCUGGAGCUCAACUCCAGAACUGCCUUUGAUACUGAAGACUCGUGAGUUCGGGAGAGGUGAGUGGAACUGCGAGUGUAGAGGUGAAAUUCGUAGAUAUUCGCAAGAACACCAGUGGCGAAGGCGGCUCACUGGCCCGAUACUGACGCUGAGGCACGAAAGCGUGGGGAGCAAACAGG
rnacentral:rRNA from 1 species